AUGCUGACUUUGACAGCACAUAUACUAAAACCAGACUGAUAAAGAGAUUAGCUUAGCCCCUGCACAAGGAUGACACGAAAUUUUUGUUUGUUUCUAGGGUUU
rnacentral:snRNA from 1 species